AAAUUGAAGAGUUUGAUCAUGGCUCAGAUUGAACGCUGGCGGCAGGCCUAACACAUGCAAGUCGAACGGUAACAGGAAGAAGCUUGCUUCUUUGCUGACGAGUGGCGGACGGGUGAGUAAUGUCUGGGAAACUGCCUGAUGGAGGGGGAUAACUACUGGAAACGGUAGCUAAUACCGCAUAACGUCGCAAGACCAAAGAGGGGGACCUUCGGGCCUCUUGCCAUCGGAUGUGCCCAGAUGGGAUUAGCUAGUAGGUGGGGUAACGGCUCACCUAGGCGACGAUCCCUAGCUGGUCUGAGAGGAUGACCAGCCACACUGGAACUGAGACACGGU
rnacentral:rRNA from 1 species